rnacentral:lncRNA from 1 species
AUUGGGAAAAACCCAAUUUCAUUGCAUAUCAUUUGGUUUUAGAUGUGAUUUCCUCCUUGUUCUCUUCUUAUAUUCAGUUCAUUAUAGAACAAAAUCAAUAUUACACAAUGGCUUUUAAUACAAUUCAGCAUAGUGUAUGUGUGUGUGUGUGUGUGUGUGUGUGUGUGUGUGUUUAUUGAAACUGGUUUGGAUGCAUAACAAAUAAGAUUGGCCUUCACUAGGAAUCAAUUUCAGUUUUUUGGGAACAGACAUGUUAUUUGCUUCCUCAGUUUUUCUUUAUGAGAAUGUGAGGAAGAAAAUCUAAGAGCUACUGUGGUUCAAGGUGUCAGUAAUUCCCCCCUUUUUUGUCUAAUUUCUUCCCUGUUCAGCUGUUUAUAAGUGCUUUCACCUAUAGACCAUUAGGUUGGUCUUGUUGCUUCAAGAAUUCAAUUCUAGUCAACAUUUUAAAUUAGGCACCUAUGAGGAACAAAGCACUAUCAAAGGAGGAGAUACAAUAAUGAAUAAGACAUCUUUUUUAAUUAUCAAGGGGUUAAGAUGGAAUGUGACAUUCAUUUUGAUUCAGCAAAUGUAUAUUAAGGGUGUAAUACAUGAAGAUCAAAAGACAGAAAAGAAGACAAGUCUCUAUUCCCAAAGAGAACAUUCUGCUGGGGAAUACAACAUAUACAUAAAGGAUGUUUAAAGAAGGCAAAUGAUGUCCUGUUGAUAGAGGCAUCUCAGGAGAAUGCUGCCAGAAGUGCUGAGGCAGGUGUUGGACAGGCACCAGGCAGGAUUUCAUCGGAAAGAAGAUAUUAAUGGUCAUUAAAUAAAAUCACCGUGGCUCUUCCCUGCCUGUGAGCC